CGACACGACGGUUUAGAUUUGGUACUUUUGGACUACUUGUUCGGUUGACGCAUAUAACUAUAGUAGCAGUGGUCACUUGUAUAUCUUCAGUUCUUUCGUUACAUUGUCUUACUACUAUAGUCUUGUUACAUGUAUACAUUCAGUUGUUCAUUACAGUAGCGGUAGUUGUACUUUCUUUCAUAUAUAUGUCUCUUUCAUUCAUUGUUAUUGCUACUGUAUUUUCUACUGACCCGUACUGUUGUUUAGCUCUUCCUGAUCCGGUGAGUACUCCUCGCCUUCAUCGGCUUGCGGUACCCACUGGGAGGGGAGACAUGUUUACAUGUUCUCACCUCCCCCACUAUUUUUCAGGUAUUGCAGGCGAUGAGUGUUGGGACGAGACGUGAGGUACGUUCGUAGCGGUCGAUAGAGCUUCCGACCCAGGUUAUCGAUUUAGUUUUUAUCCUUACUAUUCUGUUGUUAUAGCUUAGUUAGUUUAUAUGGUUCAGUUAGAUGAUCAUACUUGAUGUUUGAAUGUUGUGAGCUGGUUGAAUUUGUGGAAUUUUGGAUUUGGUUUAUGGAUCUUCAGUUUUGGAAUGUUUGUAUACUUUGUGGUUCUCGGAUUUGUAUUUAUGGAUUUACGCAUCGUGGUUUUCUACCCCUCGAGGUAGUCGGUUUUCAAAAUAGAGUUUCCGUGUCGGAAAUAAUUUUCAAAAAAUUUUCAAAUGAUUUUUCAUGAUGAAUGAAUUAGAGUUCAAAAAUAAAAGCUUCUGUGUGGGGAGCACUUUUAAAUAGGAUGGUUGUUGUAUUGUGCAUUGCAUCAUCCAGCGCCUAAGGAGUGCUUAGAGGCAUGCAUCAUUCUAAGGAUUGUUAGCUGUAUAGAAAUGUAUAUCAUGAAUUGGUUGCUGAUUGGUAAAUGUAGGUUGUGGUUGUGAUCCUGUUGUAUCCGUUGGUACGCCGUGCAGAUACAAAGGAGACUCUGCCCGAAUGGACAGAGGAACUUUGUAUUUGUGGCGGGUCUGUACGUCACGUGGGCCAGGUUUUUUUUAAAAAAAAAAUUUUUGGUACAUCUUCCGCGACUCUGAGUUUUAAAAAUGGUAAUGGCUUUUAAAUCGGCCCCGGGGCGUGACACUCACCUUAUUUCUGUCGGGGAGACUCCGUUCUGCUGUUUUGGCGGUGUCGACCCCGUCGAGCCUGUUUGGCUGCUGUUUUGAGUUUGCGCACGCUUAUCCGGCGAUCCGAGGCUGUUCCGAUGCCUCCGGAGGUGAGCACGGUGACCGCUGGUCAGUGCUGAUCACAAUGCUCACCUUCCCUUGGAUCAGAAGUGUCCGGUUAGUUCUGUUCGGAGCGAUCUUCCCUGACUGCGCGCUAUUCGCUGAACCUUCGGGUUGCUCCCGCGCUUCCCACAGCGAGCCGCUGUGCUCCGGAUCGUGAGCACGGACUCCGGUACGUCGAGACCUGUCAGUACGUGUCUCUGCGGACUUCGAAAGUCCUCGGUUUGCGUGAACGAGCCGCUUGAUCGCUCAAAUUACAUAAAAUGAUGAGAUUUUAUGUAAUUAGAGGGUCUUUUAUGCAUUUGUGCUUUGCGUGGCUACUGUGGGCAGUGUGUGGGAGUUUGUAAUGACCGCUGGACUGAUUGUCCAUGGUCCGUUAGCUUUCGCGGAAAUCGGUAGGUCGAUUUCGGUGCGUUUUUCGGCGAAAUUCGCCGAAAGAACGCGGUUUCGGUUCGGAUUCUUUCCGACGGUGUUUGGUUGCUUCGUGUUUUGUCGCUGAGCCUUGUUGGCUGGUCACCAUCAUCAUUUUGUGGGUUCGAUGAUGAUGGGUGAGCGACGGUGGGUUCCGGUGUCGAAAUAGACACUUCCGGAAACCCGGAUUCGUACGAUUAUCCGGCGAUGAUCGUAUGGUUGUGUUACCUCGUGUUCACUGCCAAGGCAUCCAAAUUGGAGUGCUUUGGGGCAGCGGGUGACUCGUGGCACGAGUCGGUGAGUUCGGGACACUUAGUGGGUCCCGACGACGUCCCGGUGUGGUUUUCGGGACUUCCGGUGAGUUACGGUAAUCGGUUUUGGGAAACCGAUUACGGGGAUCCUGUGUGGGGGUUUGUGAGUCUCGUGCUUUGGGUUAGUGGUUUGGAUUCUGACUUGCUGGAUCUUCUUAGGUCCGGUAGACUCUGUGCGUACCCAGCGUUCCGACGCGACAGUGACAGGUGGGUACUUCGAUCCGACGUCGGUACAGUGGUGCACGCUUGGUGAUGGUUUCUUACCCUUACUCUUCUGUUGUUACUAUCGCAUAAUAUAUUGAGCCUUGCACCCUUGUUUAUUCGUUAUACUCUACUCGUUGUUUGCAUACUUAGUAUCCUGAGUAGGAGUAGAGUAGUUCUAUCUUCAUGCGUAUCUGUUGACCUAGUUGGUCGGUUGUUGCAUUCAGUACCUGUUGACCUAGUUGGUCUGUUGUUGCGUUUAGUAUCUGUUGACCUAGUUGGUCGGUUAUUGCAUUCCGUAUCUGUUGACCUGGUUGGUCGGUUCUCGUACUUCGUUUCGGUGACCUGAUUGGUCGGUUCUCGUACAUCGUUCGAUGGCCCUUGAGGUCGGUAUACCCUAAGGGGUGGGAUUGUCGGUUAGCACCGACGGAUGAUUAUAGUUUACACAGUUCCACUAUUUGGCAUAUUUGUGACCUAGUCAGUCAGCUUCGUGAGUCCGGUCGUUUGAUGACCUAUGAGGUCGGUGUACCCUGAGGGGUUGGAUUGUCGGCUAGUGGCCGACGGUAAUUCGGGAUUCUAUUGAUAUACUCUGGUGACCUAUUCGUCAGUUCGUCAUGCAUAUGUGUUAGUUGACUUUAGUAGUCAGUGCUUGUAUACCUUGGUAGGAUGUUGAGUUGUUCCCUCUUAGUUGACCUGAGUAGUCGUUUCUUGUGCUUCUAUAUAGUUUGAUGACCUAUUGGUCGGUUUGCCCUGAGGGGCGGUGAUUGUCGGCUGGUUGCCGACAUUUGGCUAUUGAUCAUAUCCGCAUUGAUCGCCACAGCUCGAGUGCAUUUCACGUACACCAGCGGGUUGAUCCCCCGCAGGAGGGUGUUCUUUUCCGGAAAAGUGGUCGUACAUCCGACCCGUGAGCCCAGCGGUGUUCUUUUUGUGCUAGGGUUACAUGCCAGGUGCGAGCAGGUAGUGGCUUUUGCCUGAGGUCCUUAGACCGACACGGCGGUUUAGAUUGGGUACUUUUGGACUACUUGUCCGGUUGACGCAUAUAACUAUAGUAGCAGUGGUCACUUGUAUAUCUUCAGUUCUUUCGUUACAUUGUCUUGCUACUAUAGUCUUGUUACAUGUAUACAUUCAGUUGUUCAUUACAGUAGCGGUAGUUGUACUUUCUUUCAUAUAUAUGUCUCUUUCAUUCAUUAUUAUUGCUACUGUAUUUUCUACUGACCCGUACUGUUGUUUAGCUCUUCCUGAUCCGGUGAGUACUCCUCGCCUUCAUCGGCUUGCGGUACCCACUGGGAGGGGAGACAUGUUUACAUGUUCUCACCUCCCCCACUAUUUUUCAGGUAUUGCAGGCGUUGAGUUUUGGGACGAGACGUGAGGUACGUUCGUAGCGGUCGAUAGAGCUUCCGACCCAGGUUAUCGAUUUAGUUUUUAUCCUUACUAUUCUGUUGUUAUAGCUUAGUUAGUUUAUAUGGUUCAGUUAGAUGAUCAUACUUGAUGUUUGAAUGUUGUGAGCUGGUUGAAUUUGUGGAUUUGUGGAAUUGUGGAUUUGGUUUAUGGAUCUUCAGUUUUGGGAUGUUUGUAUACUUUGUGGUUCUCGGAUUUGUAUUUAUGGAUUUACGCAUCGUGGUUUUCUACCCCUCGAGGUAGUCGGUUUUCAAAAUAGAGUUUCCGUGUGGGAAACAGUUUUCAAAAGAUUUUCAAAUGGUUUUUCAUGAUGAAUGAAUUAGAGUUCAAAAAUAAAAGCUUCUGUGUGGGGAGCACUUUUAAAUAGGAUGGUUGUUGUAUUGUGCAUUGCAUCAUCCAGCGCCUAAGGAGUGCUUAGAGGCAUGCAUCAUUCUAAGGAUUGUUAGCUGUAUGGAAAUGCAUAUCAUGCUUUGGUUGUUGAUUGGUAAAUGUAGGUUGUGGUUGUGAUCCUGUUGUAUCCGUUGGUACGCCGUGCAGAUAUAAAGGAGACUCUGCCCGAAUGGACAGAGGAACUUUAUAUUUGUGGCGGGUCUGUACGUCACGUGGGCCAGGUUUUUCAAAAAAAAAAAAAAAUUUGGUACAUCUUCCGCGACUCUGAGUUUUAAAAAUGGUAAUGGCUUUUAAAUCGGCCCCGGGGCGUGACA
rnacentral:lncRNA from 1 species